rnacentral:rRNA from 1 species
UGCCAGCCGCCGCGGUAAUACGGAGGGAGCUAGCGUUGUUCGGAAUUACUGGGCGUAAAGCGCGCGUAGGCGGCUUGGCAAGUUGGAGGUGAAAUCCCGGGGCUCAACCCCGGAACUGCCUCCAAAACUGCUGAGCUAGAGACAUGGAGAGGUGAGUAGAAUUCCUAGUGUAGAGGUGAAAUUCGUAGAUAUUAGGAAGAAUACCAGUGGCGAAGGCGGCUCACUGGCCAUGUACUGACGCUGAGGUGCGAAAGCGUGGGGAGCGAACAGGAUUAGAUA